rnacentral:misc_RNA from 1 species
AAGUCGUAACAAGGUUUCCGUAGGUGAACCUGCGGAAGGAUCAUUAGAAAUCACCGGCCUAGCCGGUAUAAAAUUCUAUCCACCCUUGUGUGCAAACAAUGGAAGAAAAGAGAGCCAUUUGGAUACUUUUGUUUCCAAUCUCUCUAAAAUUUUUAUAAACUCCAUCAAAUUUUGAAUAAAACUAAAUUUUUUUUAAAUAAAAAUAUUAUACAACUUUCAACAACGGAUCUCUUGGCUCUC